rnacentral:rRNA from 1 species
UCCAGACUCCUACGGGAGGCAGCAGUGGGGGAUAUUGCACAAUGGGGGAAACCCUGAUGCAGCGACGCCGCGUGAGUGAAGAAGUAUUUCGGUAUGUAAAGCUCUCUCAGCAGGGAAGAAAAAAGACGGUACCUGACUAAGAAGCCCCGGCUAACUACGUGCCAGCAGCCGCGGUAAUACGUAGGGGGCAAGCGUUAUCCGGAUUUACUGGGUGUAAAGGGAGCGUAGACGGCAAUACAAGUCGGAAGUGAAAUACCCGGGCUCAACCUGGGAACUGCUUUGGAAACUGUAUGGCUGGAGUGCUGGAGAGGUAAGCGGAAUUCCUAGUGUAGCGGUGAAAUGCGUAGAUAUUAGGAGGAACACCAGUGGCGAAGGCGGCUUACUGGACAGUAACUGACGUUGAGGCUCGAAAGCGUGGGGAGCAAACAGGAUUAGAUACCCCUGUAUA